CCUGCUCUCCCACAAAGCGGACUGCCCACAAGGCCACCGAUGUAAAGCGCCCAGGAAGCCACUGGCUGCAAAAGCCGCUCGCAGAGUGCGCCCUCUACCGGAGGGGUGAAGGAACCUCAUCGUCCCAGGUCCGGUACUGUGGCACUCCGGGAAAUCAGACGUCAUCUGAAGUCCAGGAAUUCCUGUUUCACAAACUUCCUUCCCAGCAUCUGGUGUGAGAAAUUGCUCAGGACUUUAAAACAGAUCUGCGCUUCCAGACCGCAACUAUUGGUGCUUUGCAGGAGUCAAGCGAUGCCUUGCUGAAGACAUUAACUUGUGUGCUGUCUAUGCCAAACGUGUAACAAUUGUGCCAAAAGACAUCCGGCUAAUAUGCCCCAUAUGUGGGAGA
rnacentral:lncRNA from 1 species